CUACGGGUUGCUGCAGUGGAGAAUAUUGCACAAUGGAGGAAACUCUGAUGCAGCAACGCCGCGUGGAGGAUGACACUUUUCGGAGCGUAAACUCCUUUUAUAUAGGAAGAAGAUGACGGUACUAUAUGAAUAAGCGCCGGCGUAACUCCGUGCCAGCAGCCGCGGUAAUACGGAGGGCGCAAGCGUUACUCGGAAUCACUGGGCGUAAAGAGCGUGUAGGCGGAUUAAAAAGUCAGAAGUGAAAUCCUAUAGCUUAACUAUAGAACUGCUUCUGAAACUCUUAAUCUAGAAUAUGGGAGAGGUAGAUGGAAUUUCUGGUGUAGGGGUAAAAUCCGUAGAGAUCAGAAGGAAUACCGAUUGCGAAGGCGAUCUACUAGAACAUUAUUGACGCUGAGACGCGAAAGCGUGGGGAGCAAACAGGAUUAGAUACCCUGGUAGUC
rnacentral:rRNA from 1 species